rnacentral:rRNA from 1 species
AAUUGGAGGGCAAGUCUGGUGCCAGCAGCCGCGGUAAUUCCAGCUCCAAUAGCGUAUAUUAAAGUUGUUGCAGUUAAAAAGCUCGUAGUUGAAUUUCGGGAUUGACGUGAUGGUCGUGCCUUAAGGGGUAUGAACUGUCGCAGUUGAUUUCUCACCUUCUGGAGAAGCAUGAUGUCCUUAAUUGGGUGUCAUGUGGAACCAGGACCUUUACCUUGAAAAAAUUAGAGUGUUUAAAGCAGGCAUUUUGCUCGAAUACAUUAGCAUGGAAUAAUAGAAUAGGACGGCAUGGUUCUAUUUUGUUGGUUUCUAGGAUCACCGUAAUGAUUAAUAGGGAUAGUUGGGGGCAUUAGUAUUCAAUUGUCAGAGGUGAAAUUCUUGGAUUUAUUGAAGACUAACUACUGCGAAAGCAUUUGCCAAGGAUGUUUUCAUUAAUCAAGAACGAAAGUUAGGGGAUCGAAGACGAUCAGAUACCGUCGUAGUCUUAACCAUAAACUAUGCCGACUAGGAAUCGGACGAUGUUAAUUUUUUAAUGACUCGUUUGGCACCUUACGGGAAACCAAAGUGU